rnacentral:pre_miRNA from 1 species
CCUUAGCAGAGCUGUGGAGUGUGACAAUGGUGUUUGUGUCCAAAGAUCAAACGCCAUUAUCACACUAAAUAGCUACUGUUAGGC